UUUCAUUCCAUAUGUCCUGUACCUGCUCACUUGUGGUAUCCCACUUUUUGUGCUCGAGACGUCUUUGGGUCAGUACACCAGUCAGGGAGGCAUCACAUGUUGGAGAAAGAUCUGUCCUCUUUUUGAAGGAAUGGGUUAUGCCAGUCAAAUUAUUAUUGUCUAUGGCUCAAUUACCUACAUCAUCAUCAUAGUCUGGGCCUUCCUGUACCUUUUCUCAGCCUUCAGUGUGGAACUGCCCUGGGCCAGCUGCAGCAAUCUGUGGAACACAGAUGCUUGUAUAGUGCUUAGUGUGAAGAAUUCUAGCUCAGGGUGGACGUCUCCUCUCAACGCUUCUUCCUCUGUGAUGGAAUUCUGGCG